UACGUAGGGGGCAAGCGUUGUCCGGAUUUAUUGGGCGUAAAGAGCGUGUAGGCGGCCUGAAAGGUCAGCUGUGAAAACUCGAGGCUCAACCUCGAGACGUCGGUUGAAACCAUCUGGCUAGAGUCCGGAAGAGGAGUGUGGAAUUCCCGGUGUAGCGGUGAAAUGCGCAGAUAUCGGGAAGAACACCCGUGGCGAAGGCGGUUCUCUGGGCCUGUACUGACGCUGAGGAGCGAAAGCGUGGGGAGCGAACAGG
rnacentral:rRNA from 1 species